UCGCAGCGGUACAGAGAAGCUUGCCUUCUCUUGAGAGCGGCGGACGGGUGAGCUAAAGCCUAGGAAAUCUGCCUGGUAGCUGGGGGAUAACGAUUCGGAAACGGACGCUAAUACCGCAUACGUCCUACGGGAGAAAGCAGGGGACCUUCGGGCCUUGCGCUAUCAGAUGAGCCUAGGUCGGAUUAGCUAGUUGGUGAGGUAAUGGCUCACCAAGGCGACGAUCCGUAACUGGUCUGAGAGGAUGAUCAGUCACACUGGAACUGAGACACGGUCCAGACUCCUACGGGAGGCAGCAGUGGGGAAUAUUGGACAAUGGGCGAAAGCCUGAUCCAGCCAUGCCGCGUGUGUGAAGAAGGUCUUCGGAUUGUAAAGCACUUUAAGUUGGGAGGAAGGGCAUUAACCUAAUACGUUAGUGUUUUGACGUUACCGACAGAAUAAGCACCGGCUAACUCUGUGCCAGCAGCCGCGGUAAUACAGAGGGUGCAAGCGUUAAUCGGAAUUACUGGGCGUAAAGCGCGCGUAGGUGGUUUGUUAAGUUGGAUGUGAAAUCCCCGGGCUCAACCUGGGAACUGCA
rnacentral:rRNA from 1 species